UACAGAGGGUGCAAGCGUUAAUCGGAAUUACUGGGCGUAAAGCGCGCGUAGGUGGUUCAGUAAGUUGGAUGUGAAAUCCCCGGGCUCAACCUGGGAACUGCAUCCAAAACUGCUGAGCUAGAGUAUGGUAGAGGGUGGUGGAAUUUCCUGUGUAGCGGUGAAAUGCGUAGAUAUAGGAAGGAACACCAGUGGCGAAGGCGACCACCUGGACUGAUACUGACACUGAGGUGCGAAAGCGUGGGGAGCAAACAGG
rnacentral:rRNA from 1 species